rnacentral:rRNA from 1 species
AGAGUUUGAUCAUGGCUCAGGAUGAACGCUGGCGGCGUGCUUAACACAUGCAAGUCGAACGAACCUUCGGGUUAGUGGCGGACGGGUGAGUAACGCGUGGGAAUCUGCCCUCAGGAGGGGGAUAACGGCUGGAAACGGCCGCUAAUACCCCAUAUGCCGAGAGGUGAAAUGAAUUUCGCCUGAGGAUGAGCCCGCGUCUGAUUAGCUAGUUGGUGAGGUAAGAGCUCACCAAGGCAUCGAUCAGUAGCUGGUCUGAGAGGAUGAUCAGCCACACUGGGACUGAGACACGGCCCAGACUCCUACGGGAGGCAGCAGUGGGGAAUUUUCCGCAAUGGGCGAAAGCCUGACGGAGCAACGCCGCGUGAGGGAUGAAGGCCUCUGGGCUGUAAACCUCUUUUCUCAAGGAAGAAGAUCUGACGGUACUUGAGGAAUAAGCCACGGCUAAUUCCGUGCCAGCAGCCGCGGUAAUACGGGAGUGGCAAGCGUUAUCCGGAAUUAUUGGGCGUAAAGCGUCCGCAGGCGGCCCUUCAAGUCUGCUGUUAAAAAGUGGAGCUUAACUCCAUCAUGGCAGUGGAAACUGUUGGGCUUGAGUGUGGUAGGGGCAGAGGGAAUUCCCGGUGUAGCGGUGAAAU